AUGCAGAUUAAGCAGCCCGGCCUGGCUCACCCAGCCCGCGAGGGGCUCUGGGCAGGUCGGGGAACCCGAGACUCUGACCUCAGCGCCAGCUCCAAGGUGCACCGGGUCGGCACGCGCGGGGAAGCCGACCGCGGCGCCGGGCCCACGGAUGCCCCACGGAUGCCCCACGGAUGCCCCGCGGAUGCCCCGCGGAUGCCCCGCGGCCGCGUGGGUCCCUCCCGUCAGGCGGGCUGGGCUGGCCGGCGUCCCCCAGGGCUCGCGCGCGUCCUUCAAGACUCGCCAGCACGCAGGGGAAGGCAGGCUCGGAAUCCCGCGGGGCUGAUGGCGCAAGGCCUCGGGAUGCUAGCGGGACGGGGGGGCUUGCGGCGGUGCGAGCCCCGACGGCCGGCGGUCGGACAGACAGAGCCCCCCGCGGGCCGGGGCGCCGCGGUGCAGGGCGCGGGCGGGGGCGGGGGCGCGGGCGCGGGCGCGGGCAGGCCGGCUUCCCCGCAGCGUGUCUCCGGGCGUCACCUGACAGCGCGCACCGACUUCUCCCGGCGCGGAGGGGGCGGCGGCGGCGGCGGCGGCGGCCUGGGCCGGGGGAGCGCAGCGCGCGGCUGUCGCCCAGGGGCGAGGUCCGUAAACAAAAGCGGGUCCCCCCGGCCGGGGCGGCGAACCGCGCGGCGGGCAGCAUCGCGGCGGCGGAGCCCGCGGGACAGCGCGGCGCGGCCGGGGUCGGGGUCGGGCCCCGGGGACCCCGCGGACCCCGCGGACCCCGCGCCCGGGCCAGUCAUUGUCUGCGCGCGCGCCGAGGCCGCCAGAGACGCCGCCUCCCGGGCGGGCAGCGGGUCCCCGGCCCCGAGCGGCGGCUCCCGCCCCGAUCGCCAAGGUGAGCGCCCGCGGCGUCGCCGGAAAGCCGGGCCUGGAGCUGCCCAAGUCGGGCGCCGCGGCACACGCACACGCACACGCACACGCACACGCGCGCACACACACACACGCGCGCACGCCCUCCCCGAAGUUGAUAAAAUCAGCCGACAAACACAAAGUGCCGCCGCCGCCGCCGCCGCCGCCGCGGAGCCCGAACGCCGCCGCCCGGGCGCUGUCACUUUCGCCGGGCGCCGGGCACCUGGGCGCCGCUGGCCCGCCCGCCCCCCGCGGCUCCCCGUCGCCUCCAGCCUCCAGCCUCCGGCCUCGGCUCGCCCGCUCCUCACCUCCCGCGGGUGUGAGCGCGGGAACAAUACGGGGAGAGCGCGGCCGGGGGAGCUAGGACCCGCCGGGAGGCCCAGGGUGCGGGGCCGGGGCUCGGGACGUGCCCGCCACGGGCACGCGGCGGCUCGGGGCAUCCUCGCCGCGGCCCCCGGGGCGGCUCCGCGCCGCCCGCCCGCCGUACUCACCCGCGACGCUCGUCCCGGACCUCCCGCGACGGGCCCGGGGACAAUGCGGGGACGCGGGGCUCCGGGGGCUGCGGGCGCUGCAGAGCUGCGCGCCCGACGGCGGCGGCGCUGCUCGGCCCGGCCGCGCUCCGGCCCGCUCGCCGUCUGCCAAUGGGAGCUGUCAGGGCGCCUCCGCCGGCGGCCCGGGGGGCGGGGCCACGGCCGCCCGUGGGAAACCGAGCUCCGAUUGGGCCGCCCGACAAUCGCUCCGCCUCCAGGCGGCCAAUCAGAGGCGGCGGAUGCGGGAGCGGGGCGUUCGGACUGGGGCCGGAGUGACAACAGCAGCACGCUGGGUACCCGCGCGGCAUCCCGGCCCCGGCCGCCCGGCUGCGAGGAUGCGGGCGCCGCGCGCUCCGGCGCUGCCACCCGGCGGGGCUCCGGCGGCGCGGCCGGGCGGGGAGCGGGGGAAGGCGGCGGAGGCGCGGCGGGCUGGGGGGCGGCGAGGGAGCCCCUAACAAAGCGGCUUCGAGAGGGCCGAGCGGCCUCCGCCUCCCCCGGCUAUAGGUCGGCCGAGCUGCCCGUCACUCCGCAUAGGUGGAGGUGGCCAAUGACGUACGGAGAAGGAGCUCGGGUUGGCGCGCGCGCGCGGCUCGGCGUCAGUGGGAUUGGUCGGAGAAUGUGCCCUAAAGGAAAGCAGGGAUCACAGAUAAAGAUGGAGCAAGAAAGGAAUCUAGAUGGUAUCACUUGGACUCCUGAAUCCAGCUAUACCUGAAGCCAUUCACACCCUUUUAUUGCUUUAUUGCUCAAUUUAAGCAAUAUUCCUCAGUUAUAAG
rnacentral:lncRNA from 1 species